GUCGCUUUGGCCGAGUGGUUAAGGCGUGUGCCUGCUAAGUACAUGAGUUUCUCCGCGAGAGUUCAAAUUUCUCAGGCGAUG
rfam:Ipomoea nil DNA, scaffold: scaffold2279, cultivar: Tokyo-kokei standard.